AGUGAACGCUGGCGGUAGGCCUAACACAUGCAAGUCGAACGGCAGCACAGUAAGAGCUUGCUCUUACGGGUGGCGAGUGGCGGACGGGUGAGGAAUACAUCGGAAUCUACUUUUUCGUGGGGGAUAACGUAGGGAAACUUACGCUAAUACCGCAUACGACCUACGGGUGAAAGCAGGUGAUCUUCGGACCUUGCGCGAUUGAAUGAGCCGAUGUCGGAUUAGCUAGUUGGCGGGGUAAAGGCCCACCAAGGCGACGAUCCGUAGCUGGUCUGAGAGGAUGAUCAGCCACACUGGAACUGAGACACGGUCCAGACUCCUACGGGAGGCAGCAGUGGGGAAUAUUGGACAAUGGGCGAAAGCCUGAUCCAGCCAUACCGCGUGGGUGAAGAAGGCCUUCGGGUUGUAAAGCCCUUUUGUUGGGAAAGAAAAGCAGCAGGUUAAUACCCCGCUGUUCUGACGGUACCCAAAGAAUAAGCACCGGCUAACUUCGUG
rnacentral:rRNA from 1 species